CAGUGGGCGGUCUCUAACAAAGAUGAAAGGCCUUUUUCUAUUGGUCACCCUCGAUUGAAGUGACCGGUUGGCCACGCCCAUUACAGUUUCCCGCCGCUGCUUCUGCUGCCAUCAUCGUCGCCAGUCUGUCAUUCAGUCUGCGAGAAAAGCGAGCGAUAUUUUAGAAUGGCGAGCAACAGGUCGUUUACUGGGUAAGACAAUUUAAUAUCAUAAACAGUGACAAGUGAACUGAAUGUUUCUCUCUUCUUAUGCUGUCCCAUUUAAAUACGUUGCGUCGGAUAGACCAGCCUGUAGUUAACGUUAGUGUUACCGCUGACCAGAUUGUAUUAGCCAACAUCAAAUAGUACCGUUUGCCGUGUGAUUGAUUUCCAAUGUUGCUAUCUGAGCAGACAUAAGUUACAUAAUACAGACAUAAAUAACGUAACGUUAAGAGGCCACUAUUUUCGAUGUUCGUAUAGGUAGUUUCUGGAGUAAAUAUAUAGGCUAUAUAUUCUGUAUUUACACGACUUUGGCCAAUCAGCGUGCACUAAAGUCACUGGGUAACGUUAACUUAGUUCCUAUAACGUUAGUCCUGAUUUAGACCCGCCAUUAGUUCGAGGAACUAACGUUAUAAUAAGAUUCCUCCGGUGCACCAGUCCCUUAAAGUCAUAGGCACGUUAGUAGUUUCACCCAAAUAAUAGUUUAAAGUCAGUUAUUCAUCGUUUAUUUUGCUGUAGUGUGUGAGGCACAGUCGCCUCACAGCGAGAAGGUCAUGGUUUCAAGUCCCGCUUGCCCCGGCCUUUCUGUGUGGAGUUUGCAUGUUCUCCCCGUGUCCGCGUGGGUUCUCUCCGGGUACUCCGGUUUCCUCCCACCAUCCAAAGACAUGCAGGAUAGAUGAAUUGGUGUCUCCAAAUUUGCCCUAUAGGUGUGAAUGUGAGUGUGAGUGGUUGUAUGUCUAUGUGUGGCCCUGCGAUGGACUGGAGAACUGUCCAGGGUGUACCCUGCCUUGCGCCCGAUGUCUGCUGGGAUAGGCUCCAGCCCCCCGCGACCCUGUACAGGAUUAAGCGGUCGACGAUGGAUGGAUGUGUCAGAAUUGCGUCACCCUGGAGACGUUGACACAGUUCUUCUGGACUUAGUCUGCCUCAGUUUUUUCUGUUUCUUCAUGUAAUCCCAGAAAGACUCAAUGAUGGUGAAAUUUUAGAUUAUACCGGCUGUUGUCAGACUCACUGUGCAUAUAAAUUUCACUGGAUUAUUACUAUUAAUGGCUAAAUGCAUGUUUGGAAAUGUACACUGAUAUUUCCUUCUGACACACUACAGCAACAUUUUGUCAAAAACUAAGUAAUACAGUUAAAUAAACAUGCUUCUGAAUAUUAUAUAUUUGUUACAUCAGCUAAUUUUGUUUUGAAAUGUUGUUUCUCUUUGCAGGACCACACAAUGGCAGAUUUUGCAUAGGUCUGUGGAUAGACUUGGUUUAAUUGUUAAUAGGCAUCCCAUUGACUUCGAUCCACUUUGUUUGCUGUCAGGAGCUACAGUUUCUUCGAGCUGGAGCGUCAUAUAUAGACAUACCCCAGGGUGUGGUGGAUGCUCUAGAACAGUUAAAUAUAGUUAUCUCCAAUUACCUUUCACAGAGUAUUGUCCCUCCAUUGUUGGACAAUGUAGCUGUGGCUGAAUGGAGUGGAAGUGCGGGGCGUCCCAGAUUAAACAUACAAAGAGAAACACUCCAAAAUUUGCUCAGCAUGCACUUACCUCUAGCCUCUUUGGCUGAAGUGCAUGGCAUUUCAAGAUCAACCUUAUACAGGCGAAAGAGUCUGUCUGUCAGGAGCAACUAUUCUGAUAUUUCUGAUCAUGAGCUUGAUCAGAAAGUUAGAUCUAUAAAGGCAAGAACACCUCAUGCUGGAUACAGGCUGGUUAAAGGGUCUCUACAAGCAAUGGGACAUUGAGUUACAUGGAGAAGAGUAAAGAUGUCUUUGCAACGAGUAGAUGGUGCAGGGGUACUUUCAAGGAUGGUCCAGCUGUCAUGCGUUGCAAGACGAACAUACUCUGUUCCUGCUCCUUUGUCUCUUGUCCAUAUAGACACUAAUCACAAGCUGAUAAGGUACAACAUAGUGAUUUUUGGGGCUAUUGAUGGCUUUUCAAGGAAGGAAAUAACAAAGCCAAAAUAGCUUUUGGGUUUUUCAUGGAUGGAAUAGAAAAAAAUGGAUGGCCAUCAAGAGUACGAGCAGACCAAGGGGUGGAGAAUGUAGACAUUGCUCGGUGCAUGUUUACUGUGCGAGGAACUUGUCGUGGCAGCUUUAUUGCUGGAAAAAGUGUGCAUAACCAGAGAGUGGAACGGCUAUGGAGAGACGUUUGGACUGCUGUAACAUCAAGUUACUACAAUGUUCUCCACAGCUUGGAAGAGGAGGGAUUACUUGACCUGUCCAAUGCUGUUCACCUAUUCUGUGUGAGAUAUGUUUUCAUCCCCAGAAUACACACAGAUUUGCAGCAUUUCAUAGAGAUGUGGAACUGCAUCCCUUGCGAACGGAGGGAAAUUUGUCACCGAAUCAGCUGUGGAAUAUUGGAAUGUUGCAAGCACCCAUGUCAGAGCCUGAUCUUGCAGAGAUAUUGCAAGCUGAGGAACUAUUCUCCCAGAAUUCACAGUGUGUUGACUCUGAGCAUGGAGUCAUUGUCCCAGAGAUCCCUUGCCCUUUGUCACCUGAAGAUAUUGCUACUUUACAGAAUGAAGUGAACCCCAACGUUGAGUCCACUUGUUUUGGUUCUGACAUCUACUUACAAGCAUGUGCAUUAGCUGUAGAUUUAAUGUUAUAAAUAUAUAUUCUUUAAAGCGUAGACUACAGCAACAAAAAAAUAUAAAUCCGUGUAUAUGUAUGGAAAAAAGGCUGUCUGCUUUGUCGUAUAUGUAAUUGAUGAAGUGUUUUACCUUUGAAAACAUCAAAAACAAAUUCUGUUAUGCAAUAAGGAACUUAUUUUUUAUUAUAACCUCUUUGUUGCUCCUACAAGCAAUAGGCUGAUUUUUUUUAAUUCAUUUUUUAAGAAAUGCACACCAAACGAUUUAUUCUUCUAUUCACAUAUACACAUUGAUGAAUUAACAUAUACAGAAGUUCAAAAGUGCUACGUAGCACAACUAUGAACCUCAUUGGUUCUCACAUGUCAAGCGAACAUUUCUGAGUGGUUGAGUGUUUCCCACAACUGAUGUAUGAGUUGAUGAAUGAUUUUAUGUGAAUAAAAGACUUGAUUAAAUCUGUUCAUCACAAAGCAAUUGCCUCUUCAGAAAAUUUGAACUAAACUGCUCAAUUCAUAUGGAUUAGUUGUAUCUCUAUUAACUUUUUAAAAUGGUAGUUGUGUUGCUGUCAAUGGAGGGACAGAAAAAUUCUGAUUUCAAUAAAAACAUCUUCAUUUGUGUUCUGAAGAUGAACGAAAGUCUUACAGGUUUGAAACAUGAAGUUGGGUAAAUUAUGACAGAAUCUUUAUUUUUGGGUGAAUUAUCUUUAAAGGGACAUUACAAAGAGAAAGAAUAAAAGUGAACAUCUUAGUAAAUAAUGCUUUGAUAUUCAUGAAUCAAUGAACUGUGUUUUUUUUUUUUACGGUGAACAAUUCCAGGACAUUUUCUACACCCUGUCAAAUUGUAUUUGCAAUUGCGUUUUCAAUUUGUGGACGCAUAAAAUGUGACAUAAUCCAAACGCAAUUGCAAAUCGCGCAUUACCGUUUGCAUUUUCGUUUAAGCGAACGCACAGUGACUGCCAGAUUUCAAAUGGAAAAGCAAAGUCCGUUUGCAACUGUGUUUCCCAUAUCUUACGAGUUUUGGCCCUGUCAUAUUUAAAUAGCAAUUUCAAUUACCAUGUCUGCUUUUUCACUUUCUCAGCGUGGCGUAUGUAGCCAGCCAAAACUCAAAUGGAAUACUAAUUCCCUUAGUAUUUCCAUUGAUGCCUUACACGGAAACCUGUCAAUCAGGGUCAAGGGUGGGAUUAUGCUAUGGGGCGUGUUUGUCUUGGGAAGAGACCACUCACAGUCGACGGUCAAGAUCAAAUAAACCGGCGUCUGUUCAGGGCAUCACCUCUUUAUUUAUUUUGUAUUUAUUUUAAUGUUUAUUUGACAGGGACAAAUGCAUAGAACAUUGCUUUAUAAAGAAUACAAAGUAGAUGCCACGCAUACAUGUUUCUAGCCAUGACUAAUUUGCAACCCCUGUCCCUGGUUAGGCUUAUAAAUUUAAAACAAAAAUUACAGAGUAUUGAGUUUAAGAUUUAUAAUUAAUAAAAUACAUACAACAAAUACAUCCCAUAUAUGAAAUAAGAUAUGGGCUUAAGUAGAUGUGGAAGUCACUAUAAAACAAAGUCUAGACACAUUUAACAAUACAAGAACACAAAAGUGUGCAUAUGUCUGUGCGUGCUCACAUAUGCAACAUUAUGUUUGUAUGCAUUGUGUUAUGUCCUGUACAGUCAGUGUUCACAAAGUUGUUUCAGUUUCAGCCAUUGCUUUAAAUGUGUAUUAAAAACCUUGAAGACUGUCAAUGUUUUAAUUUCAGAUGCAUUCCACAAAUGUAUGCCUCUUACUGAAAAUGAUGUCUGACCACUGAUCUAUAUAUAUAACUGGAUAGCUCAUGACGUCACAACAGCGAAGCUACUGCGUCGCCAUCUUGGUAUUCCCUAACAUUCUGUACUCCUAUGUGUCUCAAUGGGAAAUCGUCUGUUUUGGUGAGUAAUUUGUACCCAUCCAGUCACAUUAAAACACAUUUCUUAUGUCUGCAUACACUGUAUCACAAUGCAAUCUUCCUAAAUAUGUAAUUCAUUAUUUAUUUUGACUUUAA